GACGAACGCUGGCGGCGUGCCUAAUACAUGCAAGUAGAACGCUGAAGGCGGAGCUUGCUUCGCUGGAUGAGUUGCGAACGGGUGAGUAACGCGUAGGUAACCUGCCUGGUAGCGGGGGAUAACUAUUGGAAACGAUAGCUAAUACCGCAUAAUAGUAGAUGUUGCAUGACAUUUGCUUAAAAGGUGCAAUUGCAUCACUACCAGAUGGACCUGCGUUGUAUUAGCUAGUUGGUGAGGUAACGGAUCACCAAGGCAACGAAACAUAGCCGACCUGAGAGGGGGAUCGGCCACACUGGGACUGUGACACGCCCCAGACUCCUACAGGAGGCAGCAGUAGGGAUUCUGCGGCAAUGGAUGGAGGUCUGACCGAGCAACGCCGCGUGAGUGAGGAGGAAUGUCGGAUCGUAAAGCACGGUUGUAAGAGAAGAACGAGUGUGAGAGUGGAAAGUUCACUGUGUGACGGUAUCUGGCAAGAAAGGGACGGCUAACUACGUG
rnacentral:rRNA from 1 species